CCAUAGCACAGUGGAAGAGCGUUAGCCCGGCAUGGGCAAAGUCGCGGGUUCGAAUCCCGCUGGU
rnacentral:tRNA from 16 species